UGCCAGCCGCCGCGGUAAUACGUAGGUGGCAAGCGUUGUCCGGAUUCACUGGGCGUAAAGCGCGCGCAGGCGGGCCAAUAAGUCCCGGGUUAAAUUCCACGGCUCAACCGUGGGCAGCCCCGGGAUACUGAUGGCCUUGAGGCAUCCAGAGGAGAGUGGAAUUCCCGGUGUAGUGGUGGAAUGCGUAGAUAUCGGGAGGAACACCAGUGGCGAAAGCGGCUCUCUGGGGAUGUUCUGACGCUGAGGCGCGAAAGCGUGGGGAGCGAACCGGAUUAGAUA
rnacentral:rRNA from 1 species